rnacentral:misc_RNA from 1 species
GAUGAAGAACGCAGCGAAAUGCGAUACGUAGUGUGAAUUGCAGAAUUCAGUGAAUCAUCGAAUCUUUGAACGCCCAUUGCACCUCUCGGUAUUCCGGGAGGUAUGCCUGUUCGAGCGUCAUUUGUACCCUCAAGCUCUGCUUGGUGUUGGGUGUUUGUUCCGCCUCUGUGUGUGAACUCGCCUCAAAACAAUUGGCAGCCGGCGUACUUGUUUCGGAGCGCAGCACAUUUUGCGAUCCAGAUCAACGUACAGCGGCAUCCAAGAAGCCUUAUUUAACGCUCUUGACCUCGGAUCAGGUAGGGAUACCCGCUGAACUUAAGCAUAUCAAUAAGCGGAGGA